rnacentral:rRNA from 1 species
CUUUAUUGGAGAGUUUGAUCCUGGCUCAGGAUGAACGCUGGCGGCGUGCCUAAUACAUGCAAGUCGAGCGAAUGGAUUGAG